AUUUUAUUAGUAUAAUUAAGUAUAUUUGUUUUCCAAACAAAAGGUUUAAUAGUUAAAUUAAAUAAAAUA
rnacentral:tRNA from 1 species